GAUGAACGCUGGCGGUAUGCUUAACACAUGCAAGUCGAACGGACUCUUCGGAGUUAGUGGCGGACGGGUGAGUAACGCGUGAGAAUCUGGCUUUGGGUUCGGGACAACCACUGGAAACGGUGGCUAAUACCGGAUGUGCCGAGAGGUAAAAGAGAAAUUGCCUGAAGAUGAGCUCGCGUCUGAUUAGCUAGUUGGUGAGGUAAAGGCUCACCAAGGCAGCGAUCAGUAGCUGGUCUGAGAGGAUGACCAGCCACACUGGGACUGAGACACGGCCCAGACUCCUACGGGAGGCAGCAGUGGGGAAUUGUCCGCAAGGGGCGAAAGCCUGACGGAGCAAUACCGCGUGAGAGAAGAAGGCUCUUGGGUUGUAAACCUCUUUUCUUAGGGAAGAACAAAAUGACGGUACCUAAGGAAUCAGCAUCGGCUAACUCCGUG
rnacentral:rRNA from 1 species